UUUACUGUAAUGCAACCAUAAUGCGCAAGUGGCAAGUGUCAUCCAAUAUUCCAAUAAAAUGUUACUGUAUCGUUUUUGGUUGGCGGUGCAGCCCGGACAUUGUAUAUUAUUCUGAUUUUUAAUCAUCGUCACCUAUCAUGAUAUGGAUUAAUGUAUUAUUAAAUAAUUUUAUUAGAAACACGCCCAAACAAUGAAAUGUUCACUGAUGGUUCAAAAUUUUAUAAAAAUUGAUAACUGACGACUGUUGUUCUCACCAGUUCCGUUCUAUAUACAAGGGAAAUGUAAAGUAUGAAGUAAUUAUAUUAUAUUUUGGUGUAAACAGUUAAAACAUUUUUCAAAAAUAGAAAAUGAGUUGAAUUUUUUUUUAAUUGGUCCAACACCAAAUGGGUAUUACCUAUAUAAUUGCAUACAAUGAUAUUUUACAUGUUUUUUAAUUUCCCGCUCUGGUCUCAGGUUAGCAUAUAUUGUAUAUAUUUAUAUCAUAUAAAUAUUGAAGUACCUACCUACCCAAACAUGUAACUUCUACAUGUAACUUCUUAUUCUCACGUAUUAUAUUAAAUACUUAUGCUGUUCCUUAUCUAACUUGGUCAAUUUUUAUUUGUUUUUAAUUCUCUUAGAAAAUAAGAUAAAAAAGGGUAGGUAUCCUAAACAUUUCAAAAAUUAAAUUACACAAAUACCCAUAUUGUAUAGUGUUAGGUACAUAUUUUUUAAAUUUAUUGAAUUAACGCUACAUGUAGUUUAUUCAAGUUAAGUUCACAGAUUAAUGGAGUAGUGAACCACACUCUAUAAUUGUCAAUACAAUUUUAUAUGUUAUGUAAAAAUGCGUGAAAAUUUAAUACAAAGCUCCUGAUAUAUUGUGAUUAUAGUAAUUGAAAAAUAUUCAAAAUACAUAGGCAUAAUUUUUUUUUAUCCAUUUUAUUCAUUUAAAGUUCGAGUUUUGACAAAAUGUAUCAAAUUUAAAAUUAAAUAAUUAUUUUGUAGUUAAAAAUGUAUAAAAUGUUCAAAUUUUAUAGCUAGGGAUUGAAAAUUUAAAACAAGGUUCUAUGUAAAUAAGUUAUAUAUAAAUUACUUUAUAGUUUAUUCACAAUAAUAUCAUCAAAUUUACAAAGUAUUAAAAAAGGCUGACGGACCUCGUCUUCGCUCAGAAUCGUUUUUCUUAUACAAUGGUAUUAUAUCAUUGCAUUCAAAUUCAACACCAUCCAUAACAGUGACCAACUUGUAACCUACUGUACACAGAGCGACACCCACUAGCCCACCUUUUUGUUAUUAUUUUAAAAAUAUUUUUUGAAAGAACAAUUUAUUACAACCACAGUACAUAUUUUUCUUUAGUGAUUUUUAUACAUGGCCAUUUUUCUGUUGGACUAAUUUCUCGUAGCCAGUUUUACUUUGGCCAAUUUUGUACUUGGUCAUUUUUUCUGUGGCCAUUAUUACCAAUUACCGUAUAAUAUACCUUUAUAGUAUAUUACUUAUUUAUAGUCACUGCAGAUUUCUGUGCUAUUAUACUAAUAUAAAUAUUAAAUAGUGUAAACAGUUGACAUACUAAACGAUUAUGGAGACAUACUCGUAUAUUUUAAUCUGACUAUCUGAAUUAUAAGGCCUGUCGUUUAGGUGUUAUUUUUUGUAAUUGUAAAUUUAUAUAGUUGCCUACAGCAUGCGUCGGUGUUAGUCGAUUUUUAUUCACGGGAAAGCAUGAAAUUUAAGCUCCAUUAUAAAAUACACCGAAAACAAAAAAUGAAUGAUUUGUAUCAUGCAAAAUAAAAUACUAUUUAUACGGGUUGGGAAGAUUUAUUUUCCAUAUAGAUAUACCUACUGUAGUAUACAAUAUUCAUCACCAUUCCUGUGUGUUUAAUAUAAUAUUAAAUAUUUGCAUGAAUAUAUGAUGCACCACCGACGGAUUUUGUACUUCCAUUUUCCACGAUAUCAAAAGCAAACAAAUGAGGUACGUUAAAAUGUUUAAUGAUACGAGUAGCUUUUAAAAAGGACGUGAUAUACAUGUAUACUAUAAACGAAUAAUAAAUAAUAUCAGACAUUAUUUUCUGGACAAUCUAACGCAUUAAAAGAAUCGAAUAUUUAUAAUGUAAAUAUAAUGACUAUAAAAGAGCGUACACGCUGAUUCCCGAAACAUACCCACAUUUUAGAUUCUGAGCGGAGAGAUGAAUGUAUUGAUUUUACAAUGAUGUGUGUUUUAUUUUAUUUUAUUUCAUUUUUUUUUUGUGCCUGUCGCAUCACCUUGUAGGACAGUAAAAAUG